ACAUGGAGCAUCACUAAGGCACAAGUAACCUGUCUAAGCAAAUCAACCUACAAUAUUUUAAGCCCUCUCCCCCCCCUAUAUUUCCUUCCAACUCUUCACCUAACAUGAUGAGUUAAGAGUGCCAAACUCACUUCUCCAAAUUAAUGGGGUGGUUUCACUCCCUCCUCUCCCCGUUCAAGAAGCUCUGGGAUCGCCUCCAUUCAAGCCAGAGAAGGGGAAGGGGAAUAUAUAUCCUUUACAAGGAUGUCAAGUCCUGCCCAUGUGAGGAUGUGCAAGUGCUGUGGUCAAUACUGGUGCAGUCACAAACCGCUGCUUUGCCAUCAAAAAGAAGUGAAGCCUCAAUUUCCCCAGAGUAAACCAUGACUGUGAAUAAGAAAGUUUCCCUUUGCGUCCAUAUGAUUAUAUAUGUACUUACACCCUUACACUCCCCUGUUUUUCAGUUCAUAUCAGUUCUGUACUUAGAUUUUAUGUACAGGCAAGAUUAACUUAUUUGGCUGGAUCAGCUCUUCUUCUUUUUCCCACUCUUCCUUUGGUACUGCUCAUUGCAGCAAAGUUGAAGAACUUGUAAUCUUGACAAAGAAUGAGAAUCUGAAAGAAGUUAUGACCCAUUUGAUUUCAA